GGAAAAGAUACAUUCGGCCCGAUACGCGUCCCAUCCGACAAGAAUACCCAUAUGGUGGUGAUAGGAUUCAAGGCUAGUUUGGUUUAUUAGGGCUUCUUUAGGCCUAUACUAUGUACACGUAAUAGUUAUGAGCAUUAUGAUGAUUUGGAAUAAAAUUUCUUAGGAAUUGUUGGG